UAGUGAUAGCUGGUUGUUCAGGAAAAGAGUCUUAGCUCUGCCUUAAGUUUUUUUAUUCUACCAAACAAGCCCAAAAACUUAAGAGUUACUCAAAUUAGGCACAGCUUAUUUGAAACAGGAUACAACCUCCCCCAUUGGGUAAGCAUGGGCAGUAAAGACAAAGUGGGCCCAAAAGCAGCCAUCUUCCAAAAAGCGUCAAAGCUUAAUCACCUAGCCUUCAAUUCUAAAAUAUUCCCCAGCCCCUCAUCCCUACUGAACUAUUUUAUAUCGCUAUAAAAAUAAUUAUGCUAGAACUAGUAACAAGAAGUCGCCCUUCUCCAUAAUGUAAGCAUAAACCAAAACGGACAAUCCACUGGUAAUUAACGUAAAUGCAAUACCAUAACAACACACAACUAGAAAACCUUAUGGCUAUACACGUUACCCUGACACCAGAACAUUACAGGAAAGAUUAAAAGAGAAAGAAGGAACUCGGCAAAUUUUAACCCCGCCUGUUUACCAAAAACAUCGCCUCCUGAUUAAAUAUAGGAGGUCCAGCCUGCCCAGUGAUAAUAUUCAACGGCCGCGGUAUACUAACCGUGCGAAGGUAGCAUAAUCACUUGUUCUUUAAAUGGGGACUCGUAUCAACGGCAUCACGAGGGUUAUACUGUCUCCUCUCUCUAAUCAGUGAAACUGAUCCCCCCGUGAAGAAGCGGGGAUUUAAUUAUAAGACGAGAAGACCCCAUGGAGCUUUAAACCCAACAUACACCCCUAUACCCAAACCAACUUACCAAUGGGGCCUGUACGUCGGUUUUAGGCUGGGGGGGCCACGGAGUAAAACUAAACCUCCACAACAAAUGGGCUAACACCCUAAUCUAUGAUUUAUAAAUCUAAGAAUCACCAAAAUGAUGUUUAAUGACCCGAUAAUUCGAUCAAUGAACCAAGUUACCCUGGGGAUAACAGCGCAAUCCACUUCGAGAGCCCUUAUCGACAAGUGGGUUUACGACCUCGAUGUUGGAUCAGGGUAUCCUAGUGGUGCAACCGCUACUAACGGUUCGCUUGUUCAGCGAUUAAAACCCU
rnacentral:rRNA from 1 species